rnacentral:rRNA from 1 species
AGUUCAGUUCUGGCUCAGAUUGAACUGGCAGGAUGCUUUACACAUGCAAGUCGAACGGCAGCACGGACUCGGUCUGGUGGCGAAAGUGGCGAACAGGUGAGUAAUGUAUCAGGUUUUGAUGCCUAGUAGCGGGGGAUAACGCGAAAGCGUAGCUAAUGCCUGCGCACGCCCUUCGGGAAAGCGGGGGACCUUCGGGCCUCGCACUAUUAGAGCGGCCGAUAUCGGAUUAGCUAGUUGGUGGAGUAACGGCUCACCAAGGCGACGAUCCGUAACUGGACUGGGGACGACCAGCCACACUGGGACUGAGACACGGCCCAGACUCCACCAGGAGGCAGCAGUGGGGAAUUUUGGACAAUGGAAACCUGAUCCAGCCAUCCCGCGUGUGCGAUGAAGGCCUUCGGGUUCGCAAAGCACUUUUGGCAGGAAAAAAGAAACGGCACGGGGUAAUACCCGAUGCAGCUGACUGAUACCUGCGAAAUAAGCACCGGCUAACCGUGCCAGCAGCCGCGGUAAUACGUAGGGUGCAAGCGUUAAUCGGAAUUACUGAGGCGUAAAGCGUGCGCGACGGUUCGGAAAGAAAGAUGUGAAAUCCCAGAGCUUAACUUUGGAACUGCAUUUUUAACUACCGAGCUAGAGUGUGUCAGAGGAGGUGGAAUUUCCGCGUGUAGCAGUGAAAUGCGUGUGGGCGGAGGAACACCGAUGGCGAAGGCAGCCUCCUGGGAUACUUACUGACGCUCAUGCGAAAGCGUGGGGAGCAAACAGGAUUAGAUACCCUGGUAGUCACGCCCUAAACGUGUCAACUAGCUGUUGGAGGCCUUCGGGCCUUGGUAGCGCAACUAACGCGUGAAGUUGACCGCCUGGGGGAAAUGCGGUCCCUUAAGAUUAAAACUCAAAGGAAUUGACGGGGACCCGCACAAGCGGUGGAUGAUGUGGAUUAAUUCGAUGCAACGCGAAAAACUACCGCUUGACAUGUCUGGAAUCCCGAAGAGAUUUGGGAGUGCUCGCAAGAGAACCAGGACACAGGUGCUGCAUGGCUGUCGUCAGCUCGUGUCGUGAGAUGUUGGGUUAAGUCCCGCAACGAGCGCAACCCUUGUCAUUAGUUGCUACGAAAGGGCGCUCUAAUGAGACUGCCGGUGAGCAAACCGGAGGAAGGUGGGGAUGACGUCAAGUCCUCACUGGCCCAUAUGGGUAGGGCUUCACACGUCAUACAAUGGUCAGGACUGGGGGUCGCCAACCCGCGAGAGGGGGCCAAUCCCAGGAAGCUGAUCGUAGUCGGAUCGCAGUCUGCAACUCGACUGCGUGAAGUCCGGAAUCGCUAGUAAUCGCGGAUCCAGCAUGUCGCGGUGAACCAGACCGGGUCUUGUACACACCGCCCGUCCACACCACAGGAGUGGGUUUUACCAAAGUAGUUAGCCUAACCGUAGGGAGGGCGAUUACCUUACGGUAGGAUUCAUGACUGGGGGUGAAGUCAUCAACAAGGUAG